AGCGAACGCUGGCGGCAGGCCUAACACAUGCAAGUCGAACGGCAGCACAGUAAGAGCUUGCUCUUACGGGUGGCGAGUGGCGGACGGGUGAGGAAUACACCGGAAUCUACUUUUUAGCUGGGGAUAACGUAGGGAAACUUACGCUAAUACCGCAUACGACCCACGUGUGAAAGCAGGGGAUCUUUGGACCUUGCGCGAGUGAAUGAGCCGAUGUCGGAUUAGCUAGUUGGCGGGGUAAAGGCCCACCAAGGCGACGGUCGGUAGCUGGUAUGAGAGGAAGAUCAGGCAGAUGGGAGGUGAGGAACAGUCCAGACUCCGACGGGAGGCAGCAGUGGCGAAUAUUGGACGAUGGAGGCGAGCCUAAUCCAGCCAGACCGCGUGGGUGAUGAAGGCCCUCGGGUUGUAAAACGCUGUUGUUCGGAAAGAAAAGCAGCAGUUUAAUACCCCACUAUUCUGACGGUACCCAGAGAAUAAGCACCGGCUAACUUCGUG
rnacentral:rRNA from 1 species